rnacentral:rRNA from 1 species
UAGCAGGAUGUGCUUGCACAUCGCUGACGAGUGGCGGACGGGUGAGUAAUGCUUGGGAACUUGCCUUUGCGAGGGGGAUAACAGUUGGAAACGACUGCUAAUACCGCAUAAUGUCUACGGACCAAACGGGGCUUUUAGCUCCGGCGCAAAGAGAGGCCCAAGUGAGAUUAGCUAGUUGGUGAGGUAAAGGCUCACCAAGGCGACGAUCUCUAGCUGUUCUGAGAGGAAGAUCAGCCACACUGGGACUGAGACACGGCCCAAACUCCUACGGGAGGCAGCAGUGGGGAAUAUUGCACAAUGGGGGAAACCCUGAUGCAGCCAUGCCGCGUGUGUGAAGAAGGCCUUCGGGUUGUAAAGCACUUUCAGUUGUGAGGAAAGGUUGGUAGUUAAUACCUGCCAGCUGUGACGUUAACAACAGAAGAAGCACCGGCUAACUCCGUGCC